AUAAUUUCUCACGGACUAAUCCGUGGGUAAUUUCCUACGGAUUUGUCCGUGGGUAAUUUUCCACGGACUAAUCCGUGAGUAAUUUC
rnacentral:miRNA from 1 species